CCCUUAGAUGUUCUGGGCCGCACGCGUGCUACACUGAGUGGAUCAGCGGGUCAGGUUGCGCGAAAGUGUUUCCUAAUCUUGAAAUCCGCUCAUGAUGGGGAUUGACGGUUGCAAUUUUCCGUCAUGAACGAGGAAUACCUUGUAAGCGCGGGUCAUCAUCCCGCGCUGAAUACGUCCCUGCCCUUUGUACACACCGCCCGUCGCUCCUACCGAUUGAGUGGUCCGGUGAGGCUUUGGGAUCUGAGCGGAAAGAGCGUUUCGCUGUUUCUGCUCGGAAAACUCAGUCGAACCUUAUCAUUUAGAGGAAGGAGAAGUCGUAACA
rnacentral:rRNA from 1 species